UACGGGGGGGGCAAGCGUUGUUCGGAAUUACUGGGCGUAAAGGGCUCGUAGGUGGCCAACUAAGUCAGACGUGAAAUCCCUCGGCUUAACCGGGGAACUGCGUCUGAUACUGGUUGGCUUGAGAUUGGGAGAGGGACGCGGAAUUCCAGGUGUAGCGGUGAAAUGCGUAGAUAUCUGGAGGAACACCGGUGGCGAAGGCGGCAUCCUGGACCGAUAUUGACGCUGAGGAGCGAAAGCCAGGGGAGCAAACGGG
rnacentral:rRNA from 1 species